GGACAGUCAGCUGAGUGUGGCACUAACAAUGCCAAGGUCACGGGUUUGAUUCCCGUUCGGUCCC
rnacentral:tRNA from 1 species